GACGAACGCUGGCGGCGUGCUUAACACAUGCAAGUCGAGCGGUAAGGCCCUUUCGGGGGUACGACGAGCGGCGAACGGGUGAGUAACACGUGGGUGACCUGCCCUUAGCUCUGGGAUAAGCCUGGGAAACUGGGUCUAAUACCGGAUAUGACUCCAUGACGCAUGUUGUGGGGUGGAAAGCCUUGUGCGGCUAGGGAUGGGCCCGCGGCCUAUCAG
rnacentral:rRNA from 1 species